rnacentral:rRNA from 1 species
UACAGAGGGUGCGAGCGUUAAUCGGAAUUACUGGGCGUAAAGCGUGCGUAGACGGCUAUUUAAGUCGGGUGUGAAAGCCCCGGGCUCAACCUGGGAAUUGCAUUCGAGACUGAGUAGCUAGGGUGCGGUAGAGGGAAGCGGAAUUUCCGGUGUAGCGGUGAAAUGCGUAGAUAUCGGAAGGAACACCAGUGGCGAAGGCGGCUACCUGGCCCACUCUUGACGCUGAGGCGCGAAAGCUAGGGGAGCAAACGGG